UAGGGAAUCUUCCGCAAUGGACGCAAGUCUGACGGAGCAACGCCGCGUGAGUGAAGAAGGAUUUCGGUUCGUAAAACUCUGUUGUUAGAGAAGAACAGCGCAUAGAGUAACUGUUAUGCGUGUGACGGUAUCUAACCAGAAAGCCACGGCUAACUACGUGCCAGCAGCCGCGGUAAUACGUAGGUGGCAAGCGUUGUCCGGAUUUAUUGGGCGUAAAGCGAGCGCAGGCGGUUAGAUAAGUCUGAAGUUAAAGGCAGUGGCUCAACCAUUGUAGGCUUUGGAAACUGUUUAACUUGAGUGCAGAAGGGGAGAGUGGAAUUCCAUGUGUAGCGGUGAAAUGCGUAGAUAUAUGAGGAACACCGGUGGCGAAAGCGGCUCUCUGGUCUGUAACUGACGCUGAGGCUCGAAAGCGUGGGGAGCGAACAGG
rnacentral:rRNA from 1 species